GUGAGGAAUAUUGGUCAAUGGGCGAGAGCCUGAACCAGCCAAGUCGCGUGAAGGAUGAAGGUUUUAUGAAUUGUAAACUUCUUUUGCAGGGGAAUAAAGUACGGUACGUGUACCGUUUUGUAUGUACUCUGCGAAUAAGGAUCGGCUAACUCCGUGCCAGCAGCCGCGGUAAUACGGAGGAUCCAAGCGUUAUCCGGAUUUAUUGGGUUUAAAGGGUGCGCAGGCGGGUUGAUAAGUCAGCGGUGAAAGUUUGCAGCUUAACUGUAAAAUUGCCGUUGAAACUGUCGAUCUUAAGUGCAAAUGAGGUAAGCGGAAUGUGUUGUGUAGCGGUGAAAUGCUUAGAUAUAACACAGAACACCGAUUGCGAAGGCAGCUUACUGGGAUGCAACUGACGCUCAUGCACGAAAGCGUGGGGAUCAAACAGGAUUAGAUACCCGAGUAGUCC
rnacentral:rRNA from 1 species